rnacentral:rRNA from 1 species
UACGUAGGGCGCAAGCGUUAUCCGGAAUUAUUGGGCGUAAAGAGCUCGUAGGCGGUUUGUCGCGUCUGCCGUGAAAGUCCGGGGGCUCAACUCCGGAUCUGCGGUGGGUACGGGCAGACUAGAGUGAUGUAGGGGGAGACUGGAAUUCCUGGUGUAGCGGUGAAAUGCGCAGAUAUCAGGAGGAACACCGAUGGCGAAGGCGGGUCUCUGGGCAUAACUGACGCUGAGGAGCGAAAGCUGGGGAGCGAACAGGAUUAGAACCUACGUC